UACAGAGGGGGCAAGCGUUGUUCGGAAUUACUGGGCGUAAAGGGCGCGUAGGCGGCCUGCUAAGUCGAACGUGAAAUCCCCGGGCUCAACCCGGGAACUGCGUCCAAUACUGGCAGGCUUGAAUCCGGGAGAGGGAUGCGGAAUUCCAGGUGUAGCGGUGAAAUGCGUAGAUAUCUGGAGGAAUACCGGUGGCGAAGGCGGCAUCCUGGACCGACAUUGACGCUGAGGAGCGAAAGCUAGGGGAGCAAACGGG
rnacentral:rRNA from 1 species